rnacentral:sRNA from 1 species
CCUCUGGUGGCGGUGAGGGAGGGGCGGCAUGUUGCUAAGCAACUUGAAGCCGACCGGUAAAGAAGCUCUGGACCACUAUGGCUAUAAUCCAUCCUGAGAUAUGAGGACCCAUCCCUUAGUCCUAGGCUAUUUCUUCAGUGCCAGGCUAUCCAUCUCUCCGCAAAUCCUCAUCCUUCAUCCAAGAAGUUAUGCAUGCAUUUACCCGAAACUCAACUGUUCAUUCGAGCCUUAAAUAUGUAUUGGGGUUUCCCACUUACCCUUGUCACGCUUCUAAGGUCCAAGGACACUGAAGAGAACAAGCAAAGAGGAGAACAACGCUGUAGCUCUCUAAUGUGGAAAAAGGAAAAAAAAAAAGUCCAAACAUCUUCUACAUGGAGUCGAAAAAAAGGAUAAAUAUCACCGUUGAUGAAAUCAUCUUGUUUGGAACAGUGGGGAUGAAGCAGGUGUGGUAACCUCAUUCCCAUUCUCUUCUGCCCUGAAGUAGCUUCUCCAGCUUCCCUCAAAGUUGGAGGAUCUUGAACUCGGACCCUCUCCUCUCGCCGUCUUCAGUUUCUUCAGCAUCCAGGAUGCCUCCUGACAGUGGCUGAGUCCAACUGGCCUUGGGUCUAUUUCUCAGGCUCUCUUGGCCUCAGCGUGUUCAUCUGUAAAAGAACCUACUGAGGAGGAGACAAAGCCCCUGACUGGCCUCAAGCUCACCAAAUAAGGCAGGCUGCCCAGCCAGAGUUCCAGGGAUCCACUAGUUCCUGCCUCCAAGGUACUGAGAUUACAGCCCGAGUUUUGCCUGAGUUUUGGGGAUGGAACUCGGGACUUCUCCUUAGCUCUUCGUUUACUGAGCUACUCACCCCACCCCCUCCAGAAGAGAAAUGUGGCAAGGGGCUCACAGGACCUGGGAUCUCAGUGGCUUCACUUAGAACAGCUGUGUGAUUACGGGGUCCUGCUUUCCCUCUCUGAACCUCCUUUUUAGAAGCAGCCAGAGGAGGUUAGGGGCCACACUUCGGUGUUGUACAGACAGAACACACAUAUGCACAGAAAUAACAGGGGCUGGGUGUGCAGCUCCACGGUAGAACUUCCUAGCAUGUGUGACAGGUUGGUAAGUUGGCAUAGCGGGCUGGCAUAAUCAGCAGCUCUUACAGUGCCAGUCUAGACAGGCAACAUUUUGUGGCUCUGGAAUCUAAAAAAUAAAUUAAGGAGGAAAUAGCA